rnacentral:rRNA from 1 species
AUAAAGGAUAAUUAGUGGCAGACGGGUGAGUAAUGCAUAGGAAUCUACCUAGUAGUAUGGGAUAGCCACUAGAAAUGGUGGGUAAUACUGUAUAAUCCCUGCGGGGGAAAGAUUUAUCGCUAUUAGAUGAGCCUAUGUUAGAUUAGCUAGUUGGUAGGGUAAAGGCCUACCAAGGCGAUGAUCUAUAGCUGGUCUGAGAGGAUGAUCAGCCACACUGGAACUGAGAUACGGUCCAGACUCCUACGGGAGGCAGCAGUGGGGAAUAUUGGACAAUGGGCGCAAGCCUGAUCCAGCUAUGCCGCGUGAGUGAGGAAGGCCUUAGGGUUGUAAAACUCUUUCAGUAGGGAAGAUAAUGACGGUACCUACAGAAGAAGUCCCGGCAAACUCCGUGCCAGCAGCCGCGGUAAUACGGAGGGGGCAAGCGUUGUUCGGAAUUAUUGGGCGUAAAGGGCAUGUAGGCGGUUCGGUAAGUUAAAGGUGAAAUGCCAGGGCUUAA